rnacentral:rRNA from 1 species
GACGAACCGUCCAAACGUUAUUCGGAAUCACUGGGCUUAAAGGGUGCGUAGGCGGCGCGGAAAGUUGGGUGUGAAAUCCCUCGGCUCAACCGAGGAACUGCGCCCAAAACUACCGUGCUCGAGGAAGAUAGAGGUGAGCGGAACUUAGGGUGGAGCGGUGAAAUGCGUUGAUAUCCUAAGGAACACCGGUGGCGAAGGCGGUUCUCUGGGCCUGUACUGACGCUGAGGAGCGAAAGCGUGGGGAGCGAACAGG